rnacentral:misc_RNA from 1 species
UCUCCGUUGGUGAACCAGCGGAGGGAUCAUUAUCGAGUUUAUAACUCCCAAACCCUAUGUGAACUUACCACUUGUUGCUUCGGCGCGCGCUUCGGUGCCGCCGAGGACACUUAAACUCUUUGUUUUUAUAAGCUUUUCUGAGUGGCCGAAAGGCAAAAUACAAAUGAAUCAAAACUUUCAACAACGGAUCUCUUGGUUCUG